UCACUCCCCGCGCUCACGUGACCAGGCCUACAAGACGUCGGCGCCGCUGCAGCUACACCCGGUUACCCUGGCAACGCCUCCGGGGCCUAGCUCCCACCGCGAAGCCUCGGGAUGCCGCAGGAGAUCCCCCCGCUACGAUCCUUGAACAGCCGCCAGCAGGCUCACGCCGUCUUCUGUAACCGGAGUCCCCGCACCGUGCAGCCCAUCUGGGUGAACUUUCAGGGGGACCCGCAGCCCUACCCGGCUCUGCCACCCGGCACCGGGCGCAGGAUGAUCACCUAUCUGGGACAUAUUUGGUUGUUCCGUGAAGUUGAGACGGACGUGGCCCUGACGGUAAACAAGAAGGAGAUAUACGUGCCUUCCCCUAAUGAGAACGGGCCGCCAGCUGUUGUAAACAUCUCUUUGCCAGUCUUCAGCCUGAAAGAUCGCUGCCUGCAGGUGGUCAGGAGUCUGGUAAAGCCAGAAGAUUACCGAAAGCUGGAGAUUGUGGCGUCCCUGUAUGAAGACCUUGAAAACCGCCCAAAUAUCACUAAGGACUUGCGCAGACUAGCAGUUGGUUUCUGGGAACAGAGUAGAUUAGAAGACGCCGAAAGCUGACCGCUAAACUGAAGACAGUGCAUUGGGAAAAGUUCUUCAGUAUAAUUGUGUUAUUCUUCUUACGCCCCAGAUGGGUGACGAGGUGGAGACCCAAGGCCAAAAUGGGACCCACCAUAGGAAAUCUGGGUAUUUCCAGUCUCCGGUAGAAUGCAGAUCUCUCUCAUCCCAACAAUCAGCCAGGUUAUAUUUCAGCACCGUGCUAAUGAAUGCAGAAUCGGAGUGAUGGGACAAAGCUUUGGGACCCCUUUGUAAAUAAUUAAAUAAAUUGCAUCGGAAUUACCUCACCCACGCUCCCUGAUAAGGUUACAGGGGUGGAGAGCAAAGGAGCGGGAGGGCAGGAAUAAAUAAUAUAUAUAUUUUUCAUUACUUAUGUACGUUGAUGUGAAUCCUUUGUAAUAUUUCCUGUAAAGCUUUAUACAUAUUGUAUUUGUGCCUCUGAUUAAACUUGUUAGCCUGUUCUUA